ACAGACCAAUGAGUGGUCAACACUUUAUCCAUUGCUUUACUAAGCAAGAUGCAAUGGGCUUGGUCUCUAAGCCUGUGGCCUCACCCAACAGUUAUUAGCAUAUUUCUUAGUUAUGUCAGACCCAUCAUUCACCAAUGGAUACAAAGCCAUCAUUGGGACUCUUAUCUAAUAGUUAUUGGGCCCAACCCCAUCUCUACCCCAGGAUAUCAAAUGUCAAUAGAGUGAUUAUACCUUCUCAAUGCAAUCGAACCACUGUAACCAGUCGAGAACAAUCAACGCUA
rnacentral:lncRNA from 1 species